UACGGGGGGAGCAAGCGUUGUUCGGAUUUACUGGGCGUAAAGGGCGCGUAGGCGGUCGUGACAAGUCACUUGUGAAAUCUCCGGGCUUAACUCGGAACGGUCAAGUGAUACUGUCGGACUAGAGUACAGAAGGGGCAACUGGAAUUCUCGGUGUAGCGGUGAAAUGCGUAGAUAUCGUAAGGAAGACCAGUGGCGAAGGCGGGUCUCGUGGACAGUUCCCG
rnacentral:rRNA from 1 species